ACACCUUUAAUAAUACUCCAUUGCAUUUUAUUUUAUUAUUUAAUUUUUUUUUUUGGCUACAAAUACAUUGCAUUCUGCUACCACAAUAGUAGAAAUUGUACUAAAAUACAUCACAAUUUUAACUCUAUCAAAUUGGCAAAACAACGCCAAACCCUAAUCGAUUUUCCAACCAG